GACGUAGGGCGCGAGCGUUGUCCGGAUUUAUUGGGCGUAAAGAGCUCGUAGGCGGCUUGUCGCGUCGACUGUGAAAACCCGCGGCUCAACUGCGGGCCUGCAGCCGAUACGGGCAGGCUAGAGUUCGGUAGGGGAGACUGGAAUUCCUGGUGUAGCGGUGAAAUGCGCAGAUAUCAGGAGGAACACCGAUGGCGAAGGCAGGUCUCUGGGCCAUAACUGACGCUGAGAGGAGAAAGCAUGGGGAGCGAACAGG
rnacentral:rRNA from 1 species